UACGGAGGGUGCGAGCGUUGUCCGGAAUCACUGGGCGUAAAGGGCGCGUAGGCGGCGCGGAAAGUCAACGGUGAAAGCUUGGGGCUCAACCCCGAGUCGGCCGUCGAUACUUCCGUGCUCGAGCACUGUAGAGGCAGGUGGAAUUCCGGGUGUAGCGGUGGAAUGCGUAGAGAUCCGGAAGAACACCGGUGGCGAAGGCGGCCUGCUGGGCAGUAGCUGACGCUGAUGCGCGACAGCGUGGG
rnacentral:rRNA from 1 species